UGGGGAAUUUUGGACAAUGGGCGCAAGCCUGAUCCAGCCAUGCCGCGUGCAGGAUGAAGGCCUUCGGGUUGUAAACUGCUUUUGUACGGAACGAAAAGGUGCCUUCUAAUAAAGGGCGCUCAUGACGGUACCGUAAGAAUAAGCACCGGCUAACUACGUGCCAGCAGCCGCGGUAAUACGUAGGCAGCAAGCGUUGUUCGGAGUUACUGGGCGUAAAGAGUGCGUAGGCGGUUUUCUAAGUUCGGUGUGAAAUCUCCCGGCUUAACUGGGAGGGUGCGCCGAAGACUGGGAAGCUGGAGUGUGGGAAAGGCAGGCGGAAUUCCUGGUGUAGCGGUGAAAUGCGUAGAUAUCAGGAGGAACACCGGCGGUGUAGACGGCUUGCUAGACCAUAACUGACGCUGAGGCACGAAAGCGUGGGUAGCAAACA
rnacentral:rRNA from 1 species